UUGGAUUUCUGUUAAUAAUUUAUAUAAAAUAUUUUGAUGAAUAUUUAUAUAAUAUUAACAUAAUUCAUAUUACUAUAUAUUUUAGUAUAUGAAAUUUUACUUUGAGAAAAUUAGAGUGCUUAAAGCAGGCAUAUGCCUUGAAUACUCCAGCAUGGAAUAAUAUUAAAGAUUUUUAUCUUUCUUAUUGGUUCUAAGAUAAGAAUAAUGAUUAAUAGGGACAGUUGGGGGCAUUUGUAUUUAACA
rnacentral:rRNA from 1 species